rnacentral:lncRNA from 1 species
AAUUCUUCAGCUUCAUGUAACCAUUGCUGCAUUUGAAUUUUCAAUUGUUCCACUUUCUCCUUAUCCAUCUUCUUUUCAAAAUUCUUCACUCGAAUUUAAUCUUACCCUAAGAAAGAACGAAACUUUUUCCAUUAGAUUACAAAAAAAUUACAGACAGAAAGAGGGAAAUUAAAACGGAAUUGAAAUUUAACGAAAGAGGAAUAUCUCAAGGAUUACCGGAAACUCGAAACCCACCGGCGAUUGAGAGGGUCACCGAUGCCUGAGGAGACAGAGUGUGUAGCAAAGUGGUAAACUGCGACGGGUUUAUCGAGAAGAAAUUGGGCCUUAGAAUCUGCACGAGUUUUG